AGACUUUACAUAUUCAACUAAAAAUCUCUUCUUUACAUACAUUUGUUGCAGGUUUAUUCUUGAUUGGACUUUGUAUAAAGACAUUACCUUCCAGAAGAAACACUAGAAUUUUAGGUCUUUCUUGAAACCAGCAUAUAAGGAUAUGUUGGAUGCUGUGACUGUACUGUCUCCCACGCAGAUUAGAUAAAAAGGGGUCGAAGUACUACUGGACCAAAUCCUCAACAAAAGUCUUUGAUAUUUCACUGGACAUUGUGGAUGUGAAGCUGCUUCAGGAUGGAGUUCGUAAUCCUGGACCUCUUUUUGUGGGAGGCUGAAUAUGUGAAGGCGAAGAGGAAAGAUAGCAGAAUCAAAGCUGUGAAGGCUUCCCUGUUACUAGACCCUAAGGCCAGAAAUAUCACUAUCUCCCAGCCUCUGCAAACUGAAGAACCCAAUUGUCCUUAUCUACUCUCAAAAAUGUGCACUGUGAGGAAUGUCCUGCAAAUGGUAACUUCCUGACAUUACU
rnacentral:lncRNA from 1 species